AACGAACGCUGGCGGCAUGCCUAACACAUGCAAGUCGAACGAUACCUUCGGGUCUAGUGGCGCACGGGUGCGUAACGCGUGGGAACCUGCCCUUAGGUUCGGAAUAACUCCCCGAAAGGGGUGCUAAUACCGGAUAAUGUCUUCGGACCAAAGAUUUAUCGCCUUUGGAUGGGCCCGCGUUGGAUUAGCUAGUUGGUAGGGUAAAAGCCUACCAAGGCGACGAUCCAUAGCUGGUCUGAGAGGAUGAUCAGCCACACUGGGACUGAGACACGGCCCAGACUCCUACGGGAGGCAGCAGUGGGGAAUAUUGGACAAUGGGCGAAAGCCUGAUCCAGCAAGGCCGCGUGAGUGAUGAAGGCCUUAGGGUUGUAAAGCUCUUUUACCCGGGAUGAUAAUGACAGUACCGUGAGAAUAAGCUCCGGCUAACUACGUG
rnacentral:rRNA from 1 species